GGGGUUGUGGCUCAGCGGUACAGCACUCCCCUCGCAUGUGCGAAACCCUGGGUUUGAUCCUCAGCACCACA
rnacentral:tRNA from 1 species